rnacentral:lncRNA from 1 species
AUUUUUAGUCUUUUCAUGGCCUCUCAACCAAUUAUCCAUUAGACUUAAUGACCUUCUCCCCCAUUGCUUGGACCUUCCUUCUUUAUUCCAAAAAGAUCAAGAUCUUCAAGCAGUGCUUCAGCAAGUUCAGUGCUUAGCUGAUCUCCUCCAGCAGGACUAGGACGCAAAGUGCCAUAGUGAAGAUGCUUUGAAGCUAAUGGUCGAGCUUGAAUAGUGCACAAAGGCAUAAUAACAAAGCUCCAGAAAAGGACUAGGACCAAGAAAUUGGAUGGCUUAUUGAGUUUUGUAGCCAUUAAUAUAUAAUUAAGAAGAAAAUUUCUCUUUAGCUGAUGAAGAGAUAAAUAGAUGAACUAGUAUUUGUGGAAUUGUAGAGUUUGCAUGGUUUGGUAUUUAUAGGAAAAGAUGGUAAGCUAAUUUGACUAAAACUUGUGGAAAGAAAAGACUGGUCCAAAUACUUAUAGUAAUUGUGACUGUUAAGAAAUAAGCAGGAAAUAGGUAUCUAGAGAUUGGCAUUUGAAAAUUUUGUGGAAAUUUUUUAAUUUUUAUUUGGAAUUUGUUUUUAUUUGAAAAUUAUUUAAAAGACUAUAGAUUGGUAGGUUUAAAUCCAACAAGCACUAAUAUACGAGUGACUGACCAUUGAAUUUGUGGGUAAUUUUGAGUUGUGAGAAUUAAAGGGCAGAAGAGUAAUUCUUUCUCUUAGGAAAAUUGACCUUAAAACCAAACAUUUAUAUGUUUUGGUGAUUAUUCCAAUCUUUUAAUUUUGAUAAAUUAAUUCAAAAUUGAAAAACUUAUAUAGAUUUUAUCAAAUUAAAUUCUAAAAUGUAUGAUUUUGCUUGUAGGAUGAUGAUAUGUCAUUUUUUAUUAUUAAUGCGAGACCCAUUUGUCACAUGCCAAUGCAUAUGGAAUCAGAAUAGUUUGAAAUAGACUCUCCUAAUUCAGGAGAAGAAAAUGAAGAAUACAUAAAUUAAAUUUAGUCUAUGCAUACAACAUCAGAUUCUAAUCAGAUUAAUAGAAUAAUGAUACUAAAUCACAAGCAAGCGUAGAAGUUAAGCCUUAUAAUCCAAGGCCUUCCCCUGUGAACUCAUAAUAUAAGGACACAAAUUAUAAUUUCGUCCAGUAUGAUGGUUUCUCUAUUAUAGAAUGGAAUAUUGACGGAUUAUGUGAUUACCAGAUAAAAAAUGUCCUUAAUACAUGACUAUUUAUGCGACAGUUUCAAGAGUAAAAGGCAAUAAUAAUCAAACUGUUGCAAAAGCCUUAAUUGCAGGCUUUAUAAAACAACUUAAAGGAUAGUGGGACUUCUUCAUAUCAAAUGAAGGAAAAAUGCAGAUAUUUAACACAGUAAAACAAGAAGGCACUAAUAUAGUAUAAGAUUGCGUUAACACCCUAUUAUAUACAAUAGGAAUGCAUUUUGUUAGACCAGCCAGUAUGUAUAUGGAUCGGUCAUAAGAGCAAUUAAUGAAUUUAAAAUGCCUAGACUGAUCUCAUUUCAAAUGGUACAAGGAUACCUUUUUCGCCCUCACCUUUAUAUGAGAAGAUAGUCAAUAUGAUUUUUGGAAAGAAAAGUUCUUGAAUGGACUUCCAUCUCUUUUUGCUGAAAGAGUUAGAGAUCAAAUAAGGCAAAGCAUGAAGGUACGAUUCCCUACCAUAUAUACACCUAUGGAGAACUCGCAUUUGAGGUGGUCUCCAUAGGAGUAGCAUUAUGCAAUGAAAUAAAAAUUCAUAGACAUAUGCAAAAAGAAAGAAUUAAUGAGAGAAAGAUUUUAGGCAAUUUUUGUGAACAAAUAGGAUUUCAGCCCAUAAAUUUUCCUUAUAAAAUGAAAUUUCAGGGGAGAAGAAGGAACAAAUAUUAUAAACCCAAUAGGUUUAGAAAACCCAAAAAAGACAAAUCCUCAAAUCAAAAAAGGGAGCCCAAAAGAAGAAAAGGACUAAAAAUGGCAAAGCAAAGAAAACUAUAAUAUGCUAUAAGUGUGGUAAAGUAGGGCAUUACGCUAAUAAGUGUAAAGUACAGUAGAAAAUUCAGGCCUUAACCAUAGAUGAAGAUCUAAAAGAUACUUUAGCUAAAUUAUUCUUAAAUGAUACUGAUUCAGAAUAAGAGGACAUAGAGCUUAACGUGAUAGACUACACUUCUGAAGAAGAAAUAGAAAAGGAAGAUGAGCCUAGAGAAAAUUUGGAUUGUGAUGGUAAUUGAGAUUAUUACAAAUCAUUGUGUGCUUUAAAUGGUUUGUUAGUCCUCAUAAAAGAAGAAAAUCUAAUAUUGGAUCUAAUAGAUAAUAUAGAAGAUCUAGAAAACAAAAGAAAUAAAUUAUAAACCUAUAUUAAAAUAUAAAGGAAAAAGACAGAGGCAUCCAGUUCUAAGAACCCUCUAGAAGAGAAAUUAGAAGAAAAAUAGACUUCUUAUGAUUUGAAGGAGAUACUGGAUAGAGUUAAAAAUGCAAAGAAAGUAAGGGAACCUACUAUAGGAGAUUUAAAGGCAAAAUUAAAUUCAGUAAAACCUUAAUUACAAGGGUUAAAAGAGAGAGUGUUAAUUUUAGAACUACUCAAUGAAGAAUAAAAUCAAUUUGACCUUAGAAGGCCCGAAAAGAAUAUCUCAAGUGAAGACGAAACUAAUAGUAUCAACAAUAUUCACUAUGUUAAUUUGGCUGACAGAGUGAUACUCACAAGUGGCAUACUAAACUAACAAUAGUUGUCCACAAAGAAUAUGUGUUUAACAUAAUCGCGUUAAUAGAAUCAGGCGCAGAUUUGAAUUGCAUAAGUGAAGGAUUAGUCCCAUCCAGAUAUUUCUCCAAGACUAUAGAAGAGCUCAACACUGCAGAUGGGAGCAAAAUGGUAGUAAAGUACAAGCUGAACAAUACUGCUAUUUGUAAUAAGGGUAUCUGCUUCGAAAUUCCAUUUCUAAUGGUAAAAAGAUUAUCUCAUCCUGUUAUCUUUGGAAAUCCUUUCAUACAUAAAUUAUAUCCUAUUAAAGAGGUAUCAAAAGACAUAAUAAGUACUGAGAUAGAAGGAAAAGUAAUUACUUUUCACUUUGUAUCUCAGCCGAGAGUAAAAAAAAAUAGAUGUGCUUAAAAGCCAUUUUAAAAACAAAAACAAAUUUAUCAACUCCUUAAAAUAGGAAGUCUCUUUCAAAGUUAUAGAAGAAAUAAAUUAAUGAUCCAAAGAUUCAACAAAGAAUCAAGCUAAUUCAGGGACAAAUGCUUAAUAGCCUUUGUCCUGAAAGCCCCAAUGGUGUUUGAAAAAGGAAAAUGCAUGUGGUAAAUUUACCAUAUGAACCUAACUUUAAUGAAAAAAUAAUUCUCACAAAAGCCAGACCAAUAGCAAUGGGGACAAGACACUUGAAAAUAUGUAAAAAAGGAGAUUAUUGACUUAGAGAAGUCCAUAGAGCUGCCCUGCGUUUUAUGUGGAAAACGCAGCAGAGUUAGAAAUGGGAGUUCCUAGAUUAGUAAUUAAUUAUAAGCCUUUAAAUAAUUCCUUAAAAUGGAUCAGAUAUCCUUUGCCUAAAAAAAGAGAUCUAUUAAAUAGACUCUAUGAGACAACUAUCUUCUCAAAGUUCAACAUGAAAUCUGGAUAUUGACAGAUUCAGAUUGCAGAAGAAGAUAAGUAUAAAACAACAUUUAGAGUUCCAUUCAGACAUUAUGAAUGGAAUAUAAUGUCUUUUGGGCUAAAAAACGCCCUAUUAGAAUUUCAAAAAAUUAUGAAAGUUAUCUUUAAUACUUAUUCAGGAUUCACUAUAGUCUACAUAGACGAUGGCUUUGUAUUUCUAAGAUAAUUCAACAUUUUAAGCAUUUAAAUAUAUUUAUCAAAAUUGUUAAAAAUAAUGGAUCUGCUCGGAAGACUCAACUCUUUCAAACAAAAAUCAGAUUUUUAGGUCAUAAUAUAGAAAGGGGGACAAUUAUCCCCAUUGAUAGAGCAAUGGAAUUUGCUGGCAAAUUUCCUUAUGAAAUAAAAGAAAAAACUCAAUUGCAAAGAUUUUUAGGAAGUCUUAAUUAUGUGUCAUACUUCUAUAAAAAUUUGGCUCAGGAUGCAAAACCUUUAUUUCAAAGGUCGAAGAAAAAUCCCUCAGAAUGGUUCGAGGAACAUACACUGGCAGUAAGAAAAAUUAAAGAUAGAAUAAAAUCUCUCCCUUGUUUUGUUAUACCUCACCCUGAAGCCUUUAAAAUUGUUGAAACAGAUGCAUCAGAAAAAGGCUAUGGAGGAAGCCUUAAUUAGAAGUUCAAUACUAAAGAGUCAUUUUAAGAUUUACUAAUGGCAUUUGGGUUGGAUCUAGGGUUAAUUACUCUACAUUAAAAAAGAAAAUAUUAUCAAUAGUUUUAUGCGUUCAAAAAUUUGAGUAAGAUCUGCUAAAUCAUAAAUUUCUCAUAAGGAUAGAUUGCAAAAGUACAAAAGAAAUACUCUUAAAAGAUGUAAAAAAUAUUACCUCAAAAUAAAUUUUUGCUAGAUGGCAAGCAAUCUUAUUUGUUUAGAGAUUGAAUUCAUUAAAGGAGAAGCUAAAUCAUUGCCUGAUUUCUUAACUUGAGAAUUUCUUAACUUGAGAAUUUCUUACAGGAGAUAAGUUCAAAAGCUCUAGCAACUCCAUCAAAAAGAUUGCAUGAGAUAUCGUCUCCUCCACCUAAAAGUGUGGAUAAAUUCAGAAACUAUACAUAUAAAUAAGCAUCAAAGCUACAAAUAAUAAAGAGGUUAAUUAUCCAUAUAUACCUAUUAAUUAUUUCUUUCUAAAUACUGUUGACAGGAAGCGUGACAGCUUAAAACCUUACGAGGUUGCUAAUUUUUACAUAGAACACCAUUCUACAAGUCCUUAUUUGCCCAAGGCUUUUGACUAUUACCAAGCUAUUCUAGCAGAAACUGGAUCUGUAAUGUUCUCCCCCAUUGAAAUAUUAGCACAUGAAUGAGCUUUUAGUAAGUUUAUUAUUAAAAGAGUAAUAUCUAGUGAUGAAUGGGUAGAUUCUCUUUCUAAAAAAAAGAACUAAGCUACAGAAAGCCUAGAUACUAUAGUUAUUUUGAUUAUAUUCAGGCCUGGACAGGAGAUCUCUUAUAUGAGAAUAGACAAAGAAAAUUCAGUUGGUUCAUGCAAUUCCAACUGGAUAAAGAAAGCUGAGAUUUUUCUCCUUAGCACCAUGAUUAGUUUUUCAACUGGGAAUUAUUUCCUAUCACCUUACCUAAUAAGGUAAGAUUAAUAUAUGAACAAUUUACUGAAAUAAACAGGACCUUAAAGAACCUAAGACUAUUAUUUACAAUCCUCUACAAAAUACCUGAAUUGUUAGAUGAGACUAUAUUAUUAUCACCCAAAAAUAGAAAAAAUUUAAUGAAUUCUCAAUAGAAAGGAUACCCUAGCUAGCAAGGAGAAUCAUGAUUAAUGGUAGGAUAAAUAUGAAUUUUUUGAGGCUCCAUCAAUCUAUAGUAAUAAAGGAUUGAUUUGCUUGGCUAAAAAGCCAAAGUCAUCCAAAACUACUUCAUCUCCUACUAAUCUAUCAGAAUUCUUCAAAGAAUUAUUACAAUUUGUACCAAGAGAAGAAUUGCAAAAAUAAUUAUUUAAUCACUAGGAGAUAUGGAAGAAUCUGGCAGCUCAAAAGAAAAGGCAGAAUGCUCAAAAUCACAUUUUGACAGGAUGAAGGACAAUGACUCAGAAGAUAAGGAAAACAUGUCAGAACAACUAUUGAUGGAUAACUAGGACCCUUAUGAAUUAUGAAGGGUACUCAAAGAUUUCCUGAGCACUCCAUUAAGUGGUCCCUAAAAUGGUGACAAAAGAAAUGAUGCAAGCCAUGACGACUAAAAGAUUCUCUCCACCAAUAUAAAUAGCUAUGUAAUGUAAAUAAGUGUCAAGUUUUUCUUUCAGAGUAUUUUUUAGUGUGUUUGUUACAUUUCGUAAGUUCUUGUAAAGUGUUUGACGUGUGUUUGUACAAUUCCUACUAUCAAUAAAAUUUUCAAAUUUAUGGUUCUAAAGCGACUUGAAACUCAAAUAGAUGAAUUAGGUGAGAAAAUUUGGCAACUCCGAAUUGAUAUUGAGUGGAUUGCUAAAUAGGAAAACAUUCCAGUAAAAGAGUUAUUAGGAGAACCUUCUGGCAAGUUUGAUUACUAGGUAUACUAUUCUAAGCCUUCGUCUGCAGACAUUCCACUUUCUGAGAUCAAGCUAACUGGUUGAAGAUUGCACCUAGAUGAUCAAGACGAAACUGUAAGAGUUUUAUGAAUGUAUGUCUAGUUUUAUUAAUGAUGCUAUAUAAAAACUACUUUUAAUAGAUCUUACUAGUAAGCAAGAAGUAUUAGUUUUUAAAUGAGAAUUUGUAAGUGAAGGGUCUAAAUUAUUUGAGAAUCAUCUAGAAAUCCAUAAUCUGUAACAACCCAGAAAACCGGACCGCUAUUGGCGCUAGGAUCCAAAUCGACUUAAGGUCGCUGGGACCCGUAGCAAGCCUACUACACAUCCUGUAUAUCUGAUAAAAUCCCAUAUAUGAUCAUACAUUUUCGUAAAAACUUUAAACUUUCACAUAUACCAAGCUUGACCUGUGCAUGCACUAUACUGUAAACAUAAAACCCCAUACUAAAGCCCUCAUCAAAUGCUCUAGUGGGUCAACAUAUCAUACAUCAAGCUUGGUUCAUCAUUUCUUAUCAUUAAAACAUUUCAUAAAAUCAUGUACAACUGGGAUUCACCACAAACAUUAGGGCCAAGUACAAUACUAAUCCUCAUUACAUUACUUUACAUUUCAUUACAUUACAUGUCCACUAAAACUCUAUUACAUAACAUAGCCAUAACUCUGCUGGCUUUCCCAUAGCUACCUGUACUCCUGCAAACCUGGGGGUUAGGGGAGAGGGGUGAGCUACAAUAGCCCAGUGAGCAGAACUAUAAAAACAUUUAAAUAAACAUAUGCCAUUAUGAAAUGUGUCACAUUACAAGUAAAUCACAUCACGGAUGGACUGACCCAAAAAUCCCUCUACUCUGUGCCUGGCUCUCGAUGGAGCUCCUCAGGACUUCUGUUACAUACAUAAGCUCUGUGCUCGGCCCUCGGUGGGGCUCCUCAGGACUUCUGUUACAUAGCAUAAAAUCUAGAGGGCUAAUGGGUCGUCCUAUUGUCCAUCCACACCCAGAAUGAAUAAUGCAAUGCGGCAUAUUCGUGGAUUCUAAUGCAAACAACCUAUUACAUAUCAUGAUGCAUGAACAUGCUUAAAACAUUUGCUUUCUGGAAAUAAAGGAUUAGUUUAGUUCCACUCACCUCUGGCUGACUCUAGACUAACUCUGAAGCAGCUAUCUCACUGCUGAUAAUCUCGGUUCCUCAGGUCCGAUCCUACACAGGUGGACUCAAAUGAGGGACCAAACAUACUCUAACAUGACUCUAAACAUCUCCCAAAAAAACCCCCUAAAACAUCUUAAAACAUGCAUUGAAAACAUGCAAAGGAAGGCUGGACAGGGCACUUUCGGCGGCAGGUUCGGCGGCCGAAAGUCCUUCCAGAGCCGAAAGUCAGGCACUUUCGGGGGCAGGGUUCAGCGGCCGAAAGUCCUUUCAGAGCCGAAAGUCCUUCCAGAGCCGAAAGUCACCCACUUUCGGGGGCAGGUUCGGCGGCCGAAACUCCCCUCUAGAGCUGAAAGUCCAAACUUUCGGGGGCGAGUUUAGGCGGCCUAAAGCUGCCUCUAGGCAGGUUCGGCGGCCGAACAUGGUUUCGGCGGCCGAACCUGGGCUUUCCCAAAGGGCAGAACUCGAUUUUGCCUUGCAUUUCCAGCCAUCCACAACACCCCAACAUGCAUCCAACUAUACUAAAACAUGCAUAUUCACAUAUUAAGCAUAUAGGGGCAAAAAACUAGCCUAUACCCCAACAAACAUCACAUAUAGCAUACAUUUAUCACAAAGGGUACAUAAACCCUAACAUUUUUCAUUUACUCUAUACAUGCAUCAAACACCCAUACAACCCCUUAAAACUUACUUAAAACAUCAUAAAAGACGUGGAUCUACACUUACCUUUUGAAGAUCGAGAGGAGAUAUGAUCCAAGCUCAGAGAUAUGGAGGAACGAGCUCCGGGGGUCUCCAAGCUUCCAAACUUCGAUCUUUAGCUCAAAAUCUUCCAAAAACCAAGUAAAAACUCAUUAAAACUUGAAAGAUUUGAAGGAAAACACAAAAUCGACCAAAGGAAGGCGAAAUCUCACCUAUGCCAGAAAAUAGAGAGAGAAAACUCGCCCGUUUUCGGACAAGGGGCCCUUUAUAGGUGGCUGGCCAGACCACCUUCGGGGGCCAAAGGUGCCUCCGCAAGAGGCCAAUGUUCGGCGGCUGAACAUGAGGUUUGGCGGCCGAACCUGGCAUUUUCCCCCUUGGUCUUUUCUUUCAAAACUCAAAUUCUUUCUUCGUAAAAACCAUAAAAGCAUGUAAAAACAUUUUAGAAAACCUUUACUUUACCCUUCUAGAAGGCUCCGACAUCCUAGAAUUCCGGAUUCCAACGGAGAUUCCGCCGGAAAGUAGGAAUUCUGAUGCCGGAGUCUAGCCGGGUGUUACAUAAUCAGUAUUGUGAUUGUAGAGAGCAUUAGAGAACUUUAGCUUUUUUAAUAUUAUUAUUAGGUUCUUAGAUAAUUUAAUUAGCAAUAAUAAUUUUUAAUGAGUAUUAUGGAGAAGUUUUAUCCACAUAGUCUAGUGAAACCCAAGUCGCGUAUUCAUGGUGAGCGUAGCAGUGAAAUUGCUUGAAGACUUUAGGAGUAAAUCGUUGACAGUGAUAUAGAUUUAUGAAUAAAUUAUUCGAAAACUUUUCUAGUCUCUCUAGGAAUACUAGUUCAAGAGGAAGUACUACUCAUUGAGCUUAUCUACAAAUUACCAUCUAUUUUUGCUAAUCUCAUCUACAAAUCAAACUCCAACUUUGUUUUGAAAUCAGAUUAUGUUGUAAAAAUGGUGGAACAAGCAACACCUGUCCAUGAAGGGUUCUAGUCCUUGAGCUUAUUUUCUAAAGAGCGCAUAGAGAAACAUCAAGAAAAAUACAUAGUCCUUCACGUGGGAAUGGUACAAGUCGCAUUAAAAUCUACAACUAGGCUAGGUUUAAAUAUCUCAGCCAUAUAUUGUGUCAGAGAUAAAAGGCAUAAUAAGUUUAAUGACUCUUUAUUAGGAGUUAUAAAAUCUUCUUUAUGUGAUGGACCUAUCUAUUUCUCUUAUUAUCCAAAUGAUAGCGGUUGUCGAAGCCGUAAAAAAUAAACCUAUUAUCAAUCAACAAAUAAAUUUGCAGAUAGUGGCAAUAGGGUCGAACCACAGGGAUUUGACACCAAAUAUCUUCCUAAUAAUGACUAAGGCAAGUAAAUAGCAAAAAUAAAAAGGGGGUUUUGUUUUGAAGAUGUACUAAAGCUAAUUAACAAUAGAAAGCAAAUAAUUUAAAGAUGAGUAAAUCAAUAAGAGAAAAGCUUCUAGUUGAAGUAUGGAUCUAUUUCAGACUGUUUAGAAUUGAUCAUUGAUUCUUUAACACUCCUAUUUAUUUCAAUAAAUUAGUUUAGGAUGUGGAAGACGCUUCUCACAAUCCAAAUUCCUCCUUAGUUCUAGUUUGAUUAGGAAAUGUUCGCUAAUCAAACACUAGUUAACAAGUUGCCAAGGAACGUCCUUGGGGCUUUUAGCAUCGAACAACUGUUAACUGCAUUAAGACUUAGAGAAACCUAAUUCUAACCUUGCCAACCGCGUGGUCAAGUUUAGAUUAUGCAACUUGAUUAAAUGUGUGUUUAAAUAAUCUAAGCAAUUACAGACCUAAAUUAUUCAAACAAUUGUUACUCAAGCAAUUAAAAGCAAUAGGCCUAAAUUGAUUCUAAAAGCAAAGCAACAAUUAUAGAAAGAUCAAAUUGCAUAAAUAUUGAAAAUAAAUAGAAGUUUAACAAUGGAGAUUUAAAUCUCCCAAUUCAUCACAAAUAUGAAUUUUCCAACUUCAACUAGAAAGGAAUGGAUUUAGCCACUCAUGGUGGACAAAAUACACAAAAGAAAAGAAGAAAGGAAGAAGGAGACAAGCUUGCUGUGCUUUCUGCAGAAUUUCUGCUGUGGAGAGAAGAUGUCUUUGCUGGUUUGGGCUGCCUCUUUUUAUAGGUGAGGAAUCCCAAUCCAAUUCGGUUUUGGAAUCCUAAAUUGGAUUGGUCUUUGUCUUUGAUCUCUUCUUUAAUUGUGAAUAAAUCUUCUUCUUGAGGAGGUCUAUCUUGAGAGUGACUCUUUGAGAUGCCCUAGGACUGAUCUUGAAGUGUUUGAGAGGGGUUAGGACUUCUUUAUUUUAAAUCUUGAAUUUCUGCACUUUCCCACUUCUGCUGUCAGUGUGAUUGAGGCGGUGAUUUGGGCAGAUCGCUGCCCCAAUCGUUUUCUGUGAGUCAGUCCAGUUUUUAGCUUUCUGUCUCUGCUUCCUCCGCUUGAUUUGGGCAGUGAUUUGGGCAAAUCGUCAUGCCCAAAUCAUUUCUGCGUGUUGCCUCUGGGUUUCUGUUCCUGCGGGUGACUUGGCCAAUUCAUUGACCCAAUCAGUCUCCUGUGAGAUAGUUCAGUUUUCUGCUUUAGCUUGAUCUGGGCAGUGAUUUGGCCAAGUUGCUGACCCAAUCACUUUUCUUGUCAUUUUCUGCACUUUUUCUCCAGUUUUCCAAUUUCUUCCUUUUAUACAAAAACAUAACAAAAACAUAAAUUAAGCUGAAAAAUGUGUAAAUAAGCAAUAAUAAAGAUAAUAAAAAUGUGGCUAAUUUAUGUUCGAUCACCAAACCUCACUCUGUUUUUGAUAGAUCUACACAUAAUGAAGGCAUUGUCAUUAGAUAUCAAAACCUCUAGUUAUGAUAUGAUGUCUGGAUCUGAAAAUAUAAUCUUAAUUUAUAAGAUUCAUUAUAAGGCAAUGAACAUGGUAGCACCUAAUUUAGGGGAAGAAGCAACAAUGCUGACUACUCCUAGGGGAACCACUACCUUAUUUGUGACGAAUAUGUCUAGCAGAAAUCUUAUGGUUCCAAAGUCUAUAAAGUGGGAUCAAGUUAAUCUACCUAAAAAUUGAUUUCUAGAGGAAGCAAUACCUCCUAAAAAGGAAGAUUCUACUUCGCUGCAGUCUAUAAUUGAAACCAAAGAAGGAAUAGUAGCAAUCUCUUUUGCUAGAAAUAGGAGCAUUAUAGAUGCGAGGAGAUUAUUUUCAGGAACAUCCAUAGCUUCUGAACCUUUAUCACCUAGAUCUUCAAUAUCUUCAUUUGAGCCUCUUAAUCAAAGCAAUUCGAUAGGUGGAAUACAUAGGACAGAAGAAAAAAUUACUCAAUUAAUUUAUUAAAAAGAAAGGCCAGAAAGCCCAAAAAGCCCUACUCCUUCAGAUAUGGGCUAUGAUAAAGAAAGUGUUGAUUCUAGAGCAUUUAAAAUAAAGGUAUUGGAAAUAAAAGAAACACCUUUUAACAAAGGAUUAUGUCUUAAUUUUUCUGAGGAUGAACAAAAGCUUUGACUAAAGAUUAGAAGUCUAUAAGCAAAAGGAAGGGACUAAAAUUUUUCCUGAAUUUUUAAAAUAUUGUCUUUCCUUAAAAGGAAGAAUGUUACCUGAUUUUGAAGAUAUUGUUUUCCUCAACACCCUUGAAUCGGCAUAUAAGAAUUUUAUUACGAGCAAGGGAAAAUAGUAAAAGGUGUGUGUCCUCCUCUCACUAAUGUCUCCUAUAAAAUAUAGAAUUCAUCAUAUGUUGAAUGCACUCCUUUUGCUCAAGAAGGAAAAGGCAGAUCAAUAGUUCAGCAACAAAACUUUACAAACCUAAGUCUCUAUACUAUCGGUCAACAACUUAGUAGAGUUGAAAGCCAAGUCUCAAAGCUUAAAACAACGACCGACUACAUUCCUAAAAUGGAAAAAGGAGAAAAUUCUAGUCUUAAUCUAGAAAAGAAAGUCCUAUUUAAACCCAUGGAGUCGGAGAAUCUAGACUUAGAACUAGCCAGAGAAGAUCAUUUCGAGAUAAUUGAUGAGUUAACUAAAAGACUAGCAGAAUUGGGAAUAGGAGGAGAUUCAAAAAAGAAAUCUAUUGUUCCAUUAACUAUAGAACAAGAAUAGUCUAAAAUAGACUCUCGUAAUUUAGGAGAAGAAAAUGAAGAAUAAAUAAAUCAAAUAGAAUCUAUGCUUAUAACAUCAUUCAAUUUAGAUUAAUAGGAUAACAUAUCCUAAACAACAAAUAACCAUAGAAGUUAAGCCUUAUUAUCCAAGGCCUUCCCCUGUGAAAUUACAAUGUGAGGACAUGAAUUAUAACUUCGUCUAGAAUGAUGGUUCCUCUAUUGUAGAAUGGAAUACUGAUGGAUUAUCUGAUUACCAUAUUAAAAAUGUCCUUCAAUACAUGACUAUGUAUGCGACAGCCUCAAGAGCAAAAGGCAAUAAUGAUCCAACUGUUGUAAAAGUCUUAAUUGCCGGCUUUAUAGGACAACUUAAAGGAUAGUGGGACUUCUCCAUAUCAAACGAAGGAAAAAUGCAGAUAUUUAACGCUGUAAAACAAGAAAGCACUAAUAUAGGGCAACGCUGCGUUAACACUCUAUUAUAUACUAUAGGCAUUCUUUUUAUUGGACCAGCUAGUAUGUAUAUGGAUCGAUCACAACAGCAAUUAAUAAAUUUAUAAUGCCCAGACUUGUCUCAUUUCAAAUGGUAUAAGGAUACCUUUUUCUCCUUAAUCUUUACCAGAGAAGAUAAUCAACAUAAUUUGUGAAAAUAAAAGUUCUUGGCUAGAUUUUAAUCUCUUUUUGCUUAAAAAAGAGUUAGAGAUCAAACAAUGGCAAACCAUGAAGGUAUGAUUCUCUACCAUAUAUACACCUAUGGAGAACUCACACUUGAGGUGGUCUCCGUAGGAGUAGAAUUAUGCAAUGGAUUAAAAAUUCAUAGGCAUAUGCAAAAGGAAAGAAUUAAUGGGAGAAAGAUAUUAGGCAAUUUUUGUGAACAAAGAGGAUUUCAGUCCAUAAAUUUUCCUAAUAAAAGGAUAUUUUAGGGGGGAAGAAGGAAAAAAAUAUUAUAAACCUACUAGGUUUAGAAAUUCCAAAGAAGAAAAAUCCUUAUAUCAAAAAGAGGAGUCCAAAAGAAGAAAACGCCCUAAAAAUGGCAAAGCAAAGAAAACUAUAGUAUACUAUAAGUGUGGCAAGGUAGGCAUUAUGCUAAUAAAUGUAAAGUCAAGCAGCAAAUUCAGGCCUUAACCAUAGACAAAGAUCUAUAAGAUACUUUAGCUAAAUUAUUCUUAAAUGAUACUGAUUGAAAAUAAGAGGAUAUAUAGCUUAAUGUGAUAGACUACACUUCUGAAGAAGAAACCGAAAAGGAAGAUGAGCCUGGAGAAAAUUGGAAUUGUGAUGGUAAUUGUGAUUAUUACAAAUCACUGUGUGCAUUAAAUGGUUUGUUAGUGCUCACAAAAGAAGAAAAUCUGAUAUUAGAUCUAAUAGAUAAUAUAAAAGAUCUAGAAAAGAAAAGAAAUAAAUUAGAAACCUAUAUUAAAAUAUAUAGGAAAAAUACAGAGGCAUCCAGUUCUAAGAACCCUCUAGAACAAAAAUUAGAAGAAAAAGGGACUCCUUAUGAUUCGAAGGAGAUACUGGAUAGAGUUAAAAAUGCAAAGAAAGUAAGGGAACCUACUAUAGGAGAUUUAAAGGCAAAAUUAAAUUUCGUAAAACCUUAAUUACAAGGGUUAAAAGAGAAGUGGUAAUUUUAGAACUACUCAACAAAGAAUAAAAGCAAUUUGACCUUAGAAGGCCCGAAAAGAAUAUCUCAAGUGAAGACGAAACUAAUAGUAUCAACAAUAUUCACUAUGUUAAUUUGGUUGACAGAGUGAUACUCACAAAUGGCAUACUAAACUGACAGUAGCUGUCCACAAAGAAUAUGUGUUUAACAUAAUCGCGUUAAUAGAAUCAGGCGCAGAUUUGAAUUGCACAAGUGAAGGAUUAGUCCCAUCCAGAUAUUUCUCCAAGACUAUGAAAGAGCUCAACACUGCAGAUGGGAGCAAAAUGGUGGUAAAGUACAAGCUGAACAACACUACCAUUUGUAAUAAAGGUAUCUGUUUUGAAAUUCCUUUCCUAAUGGUAAAAAGAUUAUCUCAUCCUGUUAUUUUAGGAAAUCCUUUCUUACAUAUGUUAUAUCCGAUUAAAGAGGUAUCAAAAGAAAGAAUAAGUACUAAGAUAGAAGGAAAAGUAAUUACUUUUCACUUUGUAUCUCAGUCAAGAGUAAAAGAAAUAGAUGUGUUUUAAAGUCAUAUUAAAAACAAAAAUAAAUUUAUCAACUCCUUAAAACAUGCAGUCUCUUUCAAAGUUAUAGAAGAACAGAAAUUAAUGAUCCAAAGAUUCAACAAAGAAUCAAGAUAAUUUAAGAAGAAAUGCUAAAUAGCAUUUGUGCUAAAAGCCCCAAUGCUUUUGAGAAAGAAAAAUACAUGUGGUAAAUUUACCAAAUGAACCUGACUCUAAUGAAAAAAUGAUUCCCACAAAAGCUAGACCAAUAGCAAUAGGGCCAAGACACUUGGAAAUAUUUAAAAAGGAGAUUACUGAUUUAGAGAAGAAAAGGCUUAUUAGAAAAAGUAGAAGCCCAUAGAGUUGCUCCGCAUUUUAUGCGGAAAACGCAAUUGAGUUAGAAAGAGGAGUUUCUAAAUUAGUAAUUAAUUACAAGCCUUUAAAUGAGCCAUUAAGAUGGAUCAUAUAUCCUUUGCCUACUAAAAGAGAUCUAUUAAAUAGACUCUAUGAGGCAACUAUCUUCUCAAAAUUCGAUAUGAAAACUGGAUAUUGACAAAUUCAGAAACAACAUUUAUAGUUCCAUUUGAAUAUUAUGAAUAGAAUACAAUGCCGUUUGGGCUAAAAAAAUGACUCAUUAGAAUUUCAAAAAAUUAUGAAUGAUAUUUUUAAUGAUUAUUCAGCAUUCACUAUAGUCUACAUAGACGAUGUCUUAGUAUUUUUUAAGACAAUAUAUCUGCAUUUUAAGAAUUUAAAUAUAUUUAUCAAAAUUGUUAAAAACAAUGGAUUAGCGGUCUCUGCUCAGAAGAUUAAACUCUUCCAAACAAAAAUCAGAUUUUUGGGUCACAAUAUAGAAAGGGGGACAAUUAUCCCUAUUGAUAGAGUAAUAGAAUUUGCUGACAAAUUUCCUAAUGAAAUAAAAGAAAAAAUUCAGUUACAAAGAUUUUUAGGAAGUCUUAAAAAUUUUGGCCAGGAUGCAAAACCUUUAUUUCAAAGGUUGAAGAAAAAUCCCCCAGAAUGGUCCGAGGAACAUACAUUGACAGUAAGAAAAAUUAAAGAUAGAAUAAAAUCUCUCUCUUGUCUUGCUAUACUUCACCCUGAAUCCUUUAAAGUUGUUGAAACAAAUGCAUCAGAAAAGGGCUAUCGAAGAAUCCUUAAGCACAAGAUCAAUAAUAAAGAGUCAUUACUAAGAUUUACUAGAGGCGUUUAGGCUGGACCUAGGGUUAAUUGCUUCACGGUAAAAAAGAAAAUAUUAUCAAUAGUUCUAUACGUCCAAAAAUUUGAGUCAGAUGUGUUAAAUCAGAAAUUUCUUGUAAUGAUAGAUUGUAAAAGUGCGAAAGAAAUACUCUUAAAAGAUGUAAAAAAUAUUACCUCAAAAUAAAUUUUUUCUAGAUAGUAAACGAUCUUAUCUGUGUUUGAUUUUGAGAUUGAAUUCAUUAAAGGAGAAGCCAACUUAUUGGCUGAUUUCUUAACUUGAGAAUUUUAGGAGAUGAGUUCAAAAGCUCCAGCAACUCCGUCAAAAAGAUCGUAGAUCGUAUGAGAUAUCGUCUCCUCUAACUAAAAGUAUGGAUAAAUUAAGAGAAGAUGCUUAUAAAAUAAGCAUCGAAACUACAAAUAAUAAAGAGGUUAAUUACCUAUAUAUACCUAUUAGUUAUUUCUUCCUAAAUACUAUUGGCAGGAAGCAUGAAGGCAUAAAGUCUCACGAGGUUGCUAAUUUUAACACAGAGCAUCAUUCUACAAGUCCUUAUUUGCCUAAGACUUUUAAUUAUUACCAAGCUAUUCUAGUAGACAUUGGAUCUGUAGUAUUCUCCCCCGCUAAAAGAUCAGCACAUGAAUGAUCUUUUAGUAACUUUAUUAUUAAAAGAGUAAUAUCUAGUGAUGAAUGGAGAGACUCUCUUUUUAAACAAAGAGAAGUAAGCUACGGAAAGCUUAGAUACUAUAGUUAUUUUGAUUAUAUUCAAACUUUGACAGGAGCUCUCUUAUAUGAAAACAGACAAAAAAAAUUCAGUUGGUUUAUGCAAUUCCAACUGGAUAAAGAAAACUAGGAAUUUUCCUCUUCCACGAUUGGUUUUUCAACUGGAGAUUAUUUUCUAUCACCCUACAUAAUAAGGAAAGAUCAAUAUAUGAACAAUUUGCUGAAACAAACAGGACCUUAAAGGAUCUAAGACUAUUAUUUACAAUCCUCUUUAAAAUACCUUGGAUUGUCGGAUGGGACUAUAUUAUUACCACCAAAAAACAAAAAAAAAAUUAAUAAAUUCUCAAUAGAAAGGAUGUCUUGGCUAACAAGGAGAAUCAUGAUUAAACGGUGGGAUAAAUAUGAAUUUUUGAAGCCCCAUCAGCCUAUAGUAAUAAAGGAUUAAUUCGCUUAGCUAAAAACGCAAAUUCAUCUAAAACUACUUUAUCUCCUACUAAUCUAUCAGAAUUCUUCAAAGACUUAUUACAGUCUGCACCAAGAGAAAAAUUGAAGAAAUAAUUAUUUAAUAUACUAGGAUAUAUGGAAGAAUCUACCAGCUUAAAAGAAAAGACAAAAUGCUCAAAAUCACGUUUUGACAGGAUGAAGGACAGUGACUCAAAAGACGAGGACAACAUGUCAGAACAAUUAUUGAUGGACGGUGACUCAAAAGACGAGAAAAACAUGUCAAAACAAUUAUUGAUGGACAAUCAGGAUGCUUAUGAAUUAGGAGGAGCAUUAAAAGAUUCCCUGAGCACUCCACUAAGUGGUCCCUAAAAUAGUAACAAAAGAAUAGAUGUAAGUCAUGACGACUAAAAGACUUCUCCAUUAAUAUAAAUAGCUAUGCGAUAUAAAUAAAUGUCAAGUUUUUCUUUCAGAGUGUUUUUGAAUGUGUUUGUUACAUUUCGUGAGUUCUUCUAAAGUAUUUCAAGUGUAUCUGUACAAUUCCUACUAUUAAUAAAAUUUUCAAAUUUAUGGUUCUAAAGCAACUUGAAACUUAAAUAGAUGAAUUAGAUGAGAAAAUUGGACAACUCCGAAUUGAUAUUGAUCGGAUUGCUAAACAGGAAAACAUUUUAGUAAAAGAUUUACUGGAAAAAUCUUCUGGCAAGUUUGAUUACGGAGUAUAAUAUUCCAAGCCAUCAUCUAUAGACAUCCCACCUUCUAAGAUCAAGUCAACUGGUUGGAGAUUCCACCCAGACAACCAAGAUGAAACUGUAAAAUUUUUAUUAAUAUAUAUUUAUUUUUAUUAAUGAUGUUGUAUAAAAACUACUUUUAAUAAAUCUUAUUAGUAAGUAAAAAGUAUUAGUUUUUAAACGAGAAUUAAUAAGUGAAGGAUUUGAAUUAUUUGAGAAUUAUUUAAAAUCUCAUAAUCAGUAUUGUGAUGGUAGAGAGUAUCAUAGAAUUUUACUUUUGUUUAAUAUUAUUGGUAAGUUUUUAGAUAAUUUAAUUAAGAAUAAUUUGGAGGUUUAAAUUUAGAUCUCCAAUCUCCCACUACUUAAAAGAAAAUGUGAGGUUUAAAAAUUUUAAAUGUUUCUAAAUUUACUGUAUUAAGCUAAGCCAAACAAUUUUUAAGUUGGCCAUCUCUUUAUUUUACCCAUAAACUGAUAAAAAAAAUCCAUAAAUUUUUUUUAUGUAAAUAUGAAAGUUAGAAGAGAGCUAAAUCAAUUUUGUCUCAAAAAAGGAAAAGGAAAAAUCUUCUCCGUAAUAAAGUAUGGCUGCUUCAUUCUUCACAACGGGAAUAGUUGUAAUUAUGAUAAUUAUUUAUUUAAGAAAUAUUAUGAAAUACGAAUAUAUAUUAUGCUCAAAUUUUCUUGCUCUUGGAAAAAUUACAUUUAUUUAGAGCAUUGAAAUUCUGAAGUUUCAUUUGACCAGCAAGCUAUGUAUAGCCAAAUCAAACAAUUAUUUCAAAGAAAAAACACACCAAACUUUCGACAUAUAUAUUUAAAACAAUAAUAGCCAUAAAGAAGAUCAAAUUUAUAUCUAAAUUUAUUUUUGAAAUAUUAUUUAAAAGUCCAAUAAGACUAAAUAAUGUCAAAUAAAUUAGGAGAUUAUAACUCAUAAUCUCAAAUCUAGAUAAGUGAUGAUAUUUUUUAGCUUUUUAAUAAUAGUUUAAGUAUAAAUUUAAAUCGAAAAAUAAAAUUUGAUAUUUUUAGUCUUUUCAUAUUUGAAAGGCAAUUUUAGCCUCUCAACCAAUUUUUCCAUUAGACUUAAUGACCUUCUCCCCCAUCGCUUGGACCUUCCUUCUUUAUUCCAAAAAGAUCAAGAUCUUCAAGCAGUGCUUCAGCAAGUUCAGUGCUUAGCUGAUCUCCUCCAGCAGGACUAGGACGCAAAGUGCCAUAGUGAAGAUGCUUUGGAGCUAAUGGUCGAGCUUGAAUAGUGCACAAAGGCAUAAUAACAAAGCUCCAGAAAAGGACUAGGACCAAGAAAUUGGAUGGCUUAUUGAGUUUUGUAGCCAUUAAUAUAUAAUUAUGAAGAAAAUUUCUCUUUAGCUGAUGAAGAGAUAAAUAGAUGAACU